rnacentral:sRNA from 1 species
UUACGUUGACGAUGUGGCCCAUGGAGCCUC